CGUAGCUCAGUCGGUAGAGCAGAGGACUGAAAAUCCUCGUGUCGGUGGUUCGAUUCCGCCCGGAACCACCA
rnacentral:tRNA from 1 species